rnacentral:rRNA from 1 species
UACGUAGGGUGCGAGCGUUGUCCGGAAUUAUUGGGCGUAAAGGGCUCGUAGGCGGUUUGUCACGUCGGGAGUGAAAACUCGGGGCUCAACCCCGAGCCUGCUUCCGAUACGGGCAGACUAGAGGUAUGCAGGGGAGAAUGGAAUUUCUGGUGUAGCGGUGAAAUGCGCAGAUAUCAGGAGGAACACCGGUGGCGAAGGCGGUUCUCUGGGCAUUACCUGACGCUGAGGAGCGAAAGUGUGGGGAGCGAACAGG